rnacentral:rRNA from 1 species
AACGAACGCUGGCGGCAGGCUUAACACAUGCAAGUCGAACGCGUGUAGCAAUACACGAGUGGCGCACGGGUGAGUAACGCGUGGAUAUCUGCCUUUUGGUUCGGAAUAACUCCGGGAAACUGGAGCUAAUACCGGAUGGUUCCUACGGGAUAAAGAUUUAUCGCCAAAAGAUGAGUCCGCGUACGAUUAGCUAGUUGGUGAGGUAAUGGCUCACCAAGGCGACGAUCGUUAGCUGGUCUGAGAGGACGAUCAGCCACACUGGGACUGAGACACGGCCCAGACUCCUACGGGAGGCAGCAGUGGGAAUAUUGGACAAUGGGGCAACCUGAUCCAGCCAUGCCGCGUGAGUGAUGAAGGCCUUCGGGUUGUAAAGCUC